rnacentral:rRNA from 1 species
GGUUAAGCGACUAAGCGUACACGGUGGAUGCCCUGGCAGUCAGAGGCGAUGAAGGACGUGCUAAUCUGCGAAAAGCGUCGGUAAGGUGAUAUGAACCGUUAUAACCGGCGAUGUCCGAAUGGGGAAACCCAGUGUGAUUCGUCACACUAUCGUUAACUGAAUACAUAGGUUAACGAGGCGAACCGGGGGAACUGAAACAUCUAAGUACCCCGAGGAAAAGAAAUCAACCGAGAUUCCCCCAGUAGCGGCGAGCGAACGGGGAGCAGCCCAGAGUCUGAAUCAGCUUGUGUGUUAGUGGAACGGUCUGGAAAGUCCGACGGUACAGGGUGAUAGUCCCGUACACCAAAAUGCACAGGUUGUGAACUCGAAGAGUAGGGCGGGACACGUGGUAUCCUGUCUGAAUAUGGGGGGACCAUCCUCCAAGGCUAAAUACUCCUGACUGACCGAUAGUGAACCAGUACCGUGAGGGAAAGGCGAAAAGAACCCCGGCGAGGGGAGUGAAAAAGAACCUGAAACCGUGUACGUACAAGCAGUGGGAGCACCUUCGGGUGUGACUGCGUACCUUUUGUAUAAUGGGUCAGCGACUUAUAUUCUGUAGCAAGGUUAACCGUAUAGGGGAGCCGCAGGGAAACCGAGUCUUAACUGGGCGUUAAGUUGCAGGGUAUAGACCCGAAACCCGGUGAUCUAGCCAUGGGCAGGUUGAAGGUUGGGUAACACUAACUGGAGGACCGAACCGACUAAUGUUGAAAAAUUAGCGGAUGACUUGUGGCUGGGGGUGAAAGGCCAAUCAAACCGGGAGAUAGCUGGUUCUCCCCGAAAGCUAUUUAGGUAGCGCCUCGUGAAUUCAUCUUCGGGGGUAGAGCACUGUUUCGGCUAGGGGGUCAUCCCGACUUACCAACCCGAUGCAAACUACGAAUACCGAAGAAUGUUAUCACGGGAGACACACGGCGGGUGCUAACGUCCGUCGUGAAGAGGGAAACAACCCAGACCGCCAGCUAAGGUCCCAAAGUCAUGGUUAAGUGGGAAACGAUGUGGGAAGGCACAGACAGCCAGGAUGUUGGCUUAGAAGCAGCCAUCAUUUAAAGAAAGCGUAAUAGCUCACUGGUCGAGUCGGCCUGCGCGGAAGAUGUAACGGGGCUAAACCAUGCACCGAAGCUGCGGCAGCGACACUAUGUGUUGUUGGGUAGGGGAGCGUUCUGUAAGCCUGCGAAGGUGUGCUGUGAGGCAUGCUGGAGGUAUCAGAAGUGCGAAUGCUGACAUAAGUAACGAUAAAGCGGGUGAAAAGCCCGCUCGCCGGAAGACCAAGGGUUCCUGUCCAACGUUAAUCGGGGCAGGGUGAGUCGACCCCUAAGGCGAGGCCGAAAGGCGUAGUCGAUGGGAAACAGGUUAAUAUUCCUGUACUUGGUGUUACUGCGAAGGGGGGACGGAGAAGGCUAUGUUAGCCGGGCGACGGUUGUCCCGGUUUAAGCAUGUAGGCUGGUUGUCCAGGCAAAUCCGGAUAAUCAAGGCUGAGGUGUGAUGACGAGGCACUACGGUGCUGAAGUAACAAAUGCCCUGCUUCCAGGAAAAGCCUCUAAGCAUCAGGUAACAUUAAAUCGUACCCCAAACCGACACAGGUGGUCAGGUAGAGAAUACCAAGGCGCUUGAGAGAACUCGGGUGAAGGAACUAGGCAAAAUGGUGCCGUAACUUCGGGAGAAGGCACGCUGGUGUGUAGGUGAAGUCCCUGCGGAUGGAGCUGAGACCAGUCGAAGAUACCAGCUGGCUGCAACUGUUUAUUAAAAACACAGCACUGUGCAAACACGAAAGUGGACGUAUACGGUGUGACGCCUGCCCGGUGCCGGAAGGUUAAUUGAUGGGGUUAUCCGUAAGGAGAAGCUCUUGAUCGAAGCCCCGGUAAACGGCGGCCGUAACUAUAACGGUCCUAAGGUAGCGAAAUUCCUUGUCGGGUAAGUUCCGACCUGCACGAAUGGCGUAAUGAUGGCCAGGCUGUCUCCACCCGAGACUCAGUGAAAUUGAACUCGCUGUGAAGAUGCAGUGUACCCGCGGCAAGACGGAAAGACCCCGUGAACCUUUACUAUAGCUUGACACUGAACAUUGAGCCUUGAUGUGUAGGAUAGGUGGGAGGCUUUGAAGCGUGGACGCCAGUCUGCGUGGAGCCAACCUUGAAAUACCACCCUUUAAUGUUUGAUGUUCUAACGUUGGCCCCUUAUCGGGGUUGCGGACAGUGUCUGGUGGGUAGUUUGACUGGGGCGGUCUCCUCCCAAAGCGUAACGGAGGAGCACGAAGGUUAGCUAAUCCUGGUCGGACAUCAGGAGGUUAGUGCAAUGGCAUAAGCUAGCUUGACUGCGAGCGUGACGGCGCGAGCAGGUGCGAAAGCAGGUCAUAGUGAUCCGGUGGUUCUGAAUGGAAGGGCCAUCGCUCAACGGAUAAAAGGUACUCCGGGGAUAACAGGCUGAUACCGCCCAAGAGUUCAUAUCGACGGCGGUGUUUGGCACCUCGAUGUCGGCUCAUCACAUCCUGGGGCUGAAGUAGGUCCCAAGGGUAUGGCUGUUCGCCAUUUAAAGUGGUACGCGAGCUGGGUUUAGAACGUCGUGAGACAGUUCGGUCCCUAUCUGCCGUGGGCGCUGGAGAAUUGAGGGGGGCUGCUCCUAGUACGAGAGGACCGGAGUGGACGCAUCACUGGUGUUCGGGUUGUCAUGCCAAUGGCACUGCCCGGUAGCUAAAUGCGGAAGAGAUAAGUGCUGAAAGCAUCUAAGCACGAAACUUGCCCCGAGAUGAGUUCUCCCUGAGACUUUAAGUCUCCUGAAGGAACGUUGAAGACGACGACGUUGAUAGGCCGGGUGUGUAAGCGCAGCGAUGCGUUGAGCUAACCGGUACUAAUGAACCGUGAGGCUUAACCUU